CUACGGGAGGCUGCAGUGGGGAAUAUUGGACAAUGGGCGAAAGCCUGAUCCAGCCAUGCCGCGUGUGUGAAGAAGGCCUUCGGGUUGUAAAGCACUUUCAGUGGGGAAGAAAGCCUUGGGGCUAAUACCCUCGAGGAAGGACAUCACCCACAGAAGAAGCACCGGCUAACUCCGUGCCAGCAGCCGCGGUAAUACGGAGGGUGCGAGCGUUAAUCGGAAUUACUGGGCGUAAAGCGCGCGUAGGCGGUCUGAUAAGCCGGUUGUGAAAGCCCCGGGCGCAACCUGGGAACGGCAUCCGGAACUGUCAGGCUAGAGUGCAGGAGAGGGAGGUAGAAUUCCCGGUGUAGCGGUGAAAUGCGUAGAGAUCGGGAGGAAUACCAGUGGCGAAGGCGGCCUUCUGGACUGACACUGACGCUGAGGUGCGAAAGCGUGGGUAGCAAACAGGAUUAGAUACCCCUGUAGUC
rnacentral:rRNA from 1 species